GUUCGGCCUGGCCGCGCCUCUCGUCGGCCUCCGGGCCUUCGCCCUGGGGGCACAGCCCGCAACGCACCUCGGCCUUCCCUGCACGCGCUGGGCUGCUCCCCGCUCCCCGCCUUCUUCCGGGCUCCGAGAGCAACGCAGGGAAGAUGCUUCUAGGCGUCUGGGGAGCAACUGGGAUCUCAAGGUCUUGCUAACGUGUCCACUGCGGCUGCUCGCGGGAAAGCAACGGAAGUUGGAGAGACUUUGCAACAGCUGCAAGAGUUUCAGUCCCGGGCAGAGAGCGACCACCGGGGCGAGGCAAAGUCCCGCGGCCGGCGUGCGCCCGACCCACGGGACCCCAAGGCCUCGCUGCUCCCGGGGCGGGCCCCACCUGGCCAAGAGCGCGCGGACGUGGGCUGCAGCCGCCCGCCUCGCCUCACCUUUCGUCAGCGUGUCCAGCACCCCCGACUUCUCCAAGUACCUCCGGAACUGCUCGCGCUUCGAGUCGGCGGCCUGAGGAGACACGGCGGGUCAGGGACCGGAGCCCGGGGCCGGAGCAGGAAGACGGCGCGCCCCGCCGCCGGCCCCAAGCCCUGCACGCGCCCCAACUCCCACCCGGCGCCGCCCGCACGCCCCGAGCCACGCCGCGCCCCCCUCACUUUGUAAUGGGCCAUAGUGACAGCCA
rnacentral:lncRNA from 1 species